rnacentral:rRNA from 1 species
AGUGAACGCUGGCGGUAGGCCUAACACAUGCAAGUCGAACGGCAGCACAGUAAGAGCUUGCUCUUACGGGUGGCGAGUGGCGGACGGGUGAGGAAUACAUCGGAAUCUACUUUUUCGUGGGGGAUAACGUAGGGAAACUUACGCUAAUACCGCAUACGACCUACGGGUGAAAGCAGGGGAUCUUCGGACCUUGCGCGAUUGAAUGAGCCGAUGUCGGAUUAGCUAGUUGGCGGGGUAAAGGCCCACCAAGGCGACGAUCCGUAGCUGGUCUGAGAGGAUGAUCAGCCACACUGGAACUGAGACACGGUCCAGACUCCUACGGGAGGCAGCAGUGGGGAAUAUUGGACAAUGGGCGCAAGCUUGAUCCAGCCAUACCGCGUGGGUGAAGAAGGCCUUCGGGUUGUAAAGCCCUUUUGUUGGGAAAGAAAAGCAGCAGGUUAAUACCCCGCUGUUCUGACGGUACCCGAAGAAUAAGCACCGGCUAACUUCGUG